UACGAAGGGGGCUAGCGUUGCUCGGAAUUACUGGGCGUAAAGCGCACGUAGGCGGAUCUUUAAGUCAGGGGUGAAAUCCUGGAGCUCAACUCCAGAACUGCCUUUGAUACUGAGGAUCUUGAGUUCGGGAGAGGUGAGUGGAACUGCGAGUGUAGAGGGGAAAUUCGUAGAUAUUCGCAAGAACACCAGUGGCGAAGGCGGCUCACUGGCCCGAUACUGACGCUGAGGCACGAAAGCGUGGGGAGCAAACAGG
rnacentral:rRNA from 1 species